UCCGGAAUCAUUGGGUUUAAAGGAUCCGUAGGUGGAUUAAUAAGUCAGAGGUGAAAUCCUGCAGCUCAACUGUAGAACUGCCUUUGAUACUGUUAAUCUUGAGUCAUUAUGAAGUGGUUAGAAUGUGUAGUGUAGCGGUGAAAUGCAUAGAUAUUACACAGAAUACCGAUUGCGAAGGCAGAUCACUAAUAAUCAACUGACACUGAUGGACGAAAGCGUGGGUAGCGAACAGGAUUAGAUACCCUGGUAGUCCACGCCGUAAACGAUGGUUACUAGCUGUUUGGACCUUGUGUCUGAGUGGCUAAGCGAAAGUGAUAAGUAACCCACCUGGGGAGUACGUUCGCAAGAAUGAAACUCAAAGGAAUUGACGGGGGCCCACACAAGCGGUGGAGCAUGUGGUUUAAUUCGAUGAUACGCGAGGAACCUUACCAGGGCUUAAAUGUAAGUUGCAUUAGUUAGGGAUAGCUAUUUCUUCGGACCACUUACAAGGUGCUGCAUGGUU
rnacentral:rRNA from 1 species